rnacentral:rRNA from 1 species
CGGGAACAGCUCAAAUUUUAAAUCGGACUUUGUUCGAGUUGUAAUUUGUAGAGGAUGUUUUGGGUACCGCCACGGUUUAAUUUUCUUGGAACAGGAAGCCAAAGAGGGUGAGAGUCCCGUCUUGGACCGCGGUAGGGCUCGUGUAAAACUCCUUCGAC